CCCUACGGGCGGCAGCAGUGGGGAAUCUUGCGCAAUGGGCGAAAGCCUGACGCAGCCAUGCCGCGUGGAUGAUGAAGGUCUUAGGAUUGUAAAAUCCUUUCAGCGGGGACGAUAAUGACGGUACCCGCAGAAGAAGCCCCGGCUAACUUCGUGCCAGCAGCCGCGGUAAUACGAAGGGGGCUAGCGUUGCUCGGAUUUACUGGGCGUAAAGGGCGCGUAGGCGGACAGUUAAGUCGGGGGUGAAAGCCCGGGGCUCAACCUCGGAAUUGCCUUCGAUACUGGCUGUCUGGAGUACGGGAGAGGUGUGUGGAACUCCGAGUGUAGAGGUGAAAUUCGUAGAUAUUCGGAAGAACACCAGUGGCGAAGGCGACACACUGGCCCGUUACUGACGCUGAGGCGCGAAAGCGUGGGGAGCAAACAGGAUUAGAUACCCCUGUAGUCC
rnacentral:rRNA from 1 species